CGGACGGGUGAGUAAUGUCUGGGAAACUGCCUGAUGGAGGGGGAUAACUACUGGAAACGGUAGCUAAUACCGCAUAACGUCGCAAGACCAAAGAGGGGGACCUUCGGGCCUCUUGCCAUCGGAUGUGCCCAGAUGGGAUUAGCUAGUAGGUGGGGUAAAGGCUCACCUAGGCGACGAUCCCUAGCUAGUCUGAGAGGAUGACCAGCCACACUGGAACUGAGACACGGUCCAG
rnacentral:rRNA from 1 species